GAUGAACGCUAGCGGCAGGCCUAAUACAUGCAAGUCGAACGGUGUCUUCGGACAUAGUGGCGCACGGGUGCGUAACACGUAUGCAACCUACCUUACAUUGGGGGAUAGCCUUUCGAAAGGGAGAAUAAUACCGCAUAAGACAGUAGCUGGGCAUCCAGCAGCUGUUAAAGAUUUAUCGAUGUAAGCUGGGCCUGAGUCCAAUUGGCUAGUUGGUGAGGUACCGGCUAACCAAGGCAAGGAUUGGUAGGGGAACUGGGAGGUCAAUCCCCCACACGGGCACUGAGAUACGGGCCAGACUCCUACGGGAGGCAGCAGUAGGGAAUAUUGGGCAAUGGACGCAAGUCUGACCCAGCCAUGCCGCGUGCAGGAUGAAGGCGUUAUGCGUUGUAAACUGCUUUUAUACAGGAAGAAACGACUCUUGCGAGAGGCAUUGACGGUACUGUAUGAAUAAGCACCGGCUAACUCCGUGCCAGCAGCCGCCGUAAGAC
rnacentral:rRNA from 1 species